AUUGAACGCUGGCGGCAUGCUUUACACAUGCAAGUCGAACGGUAACAGGGAGCUUGCUCCGCUGACGAGUGGCGAACGGGUGAGUAAUGCGUCGGAACGUGCCGAGUAGUGGGGGAUAACGCAUCGAAAGGUGUGCUAAUACCGCAUACGUACUGAGGUAGAAAGUGGGGGACCUUCGGGCCUCACGCUAUUCGAGCGGCCGACGUCUGGUUAGCUAGUUGGUGAGGUAAAGGCUCACCAAGGCGACGAUCAGUAGCGGGUCUGAGAGGAUGAUCCGCCCCACUGGGACUGAGACACGGCCCAGACUCCUACGGGAGGCAGCAGUGGGGAAUUUUGGACAAUGGGCGCAAGCCUGAUCCAGCCAUGCCGCGUGUCUGAAGAAGGCCUUCGGGUUGUAAAGGACUUUUGUCCGGGAGCAAAUGCUGGUGGCUAACAUCCACCGGAGCUGAGAGUACCGGAAGAAUAAGCACCGGCUAACUACGUGCCAGCCGCCGCAGUAACAC
rnacentral:rRNA from 1 species